rnacentral:rRNA from 1 species
GAUGAACGCUGGCGGCGUGCCUAAUACAUGCAAGUCGAGCGAACAGACGAGUGUCUUGCUCCUCUGACGUUAGCGGCGGACGUGUGAGUAACACGGGGAUAACCUACCUAUAGGGCGGUGGUAACUUCAGGAAACCGUAGAUAAUACCGGAGAACAUGUGAAACAACAUGGGGAAACAGUGGAAGACGGUCUUGCUGUCACUUAUAGAUGGAUCCGCGCCGCAUUAGCUAGUUGGUAAGGUAACGGCUUACCAAGGCAACGAUGCGUAGCCGACCUGAGAGGGUGAUCGGCCACACUGGAACUGAGACACGGUCCAGACUCCUACGGGAGGCAGCAGUAGGGAAUCUUCCGCAAUGGGCGAAAGCCUGACGGAGCAACGCCGCGUGAGUGAAGAAGGUCUUCGGAUCGUAAAACUCUGUUAUUAGGGAAGAACAAAUGUGUAAGUAACUAUGCACGUCUUGACGGUACCUAAUCAGAAAGCCACGGCUAACUACGUG